UCAAGCGAAUAAGUGCAUACGGUGGAUGCCUAGGCAGUAAGAGGCGAUGAAGGACGUAGUAGACUGCGAUAAGCGCGGGGGAGUAGUCAAACAUACUUUGAUCCCGCGAUUUCCGAAUGGGGAAACCCAGUGUGCAUCAGCACAUUAUCCUUAAGUGAAUACAUAGCUUAAGGAGGCGAACCCGGGGAACUGAAACAUCUAAGUACCCGGAGGAAAAGAAAUCAACCGAGAUUCCCUUAGUAGCGGCGAGCGAACGGGGACCAGCCCUAAACCCUUAGAUGUGAUAGUGGAAUGCUCUGGAAAGUGCAGCCAUAGAGAGUGAUAGCCUCGUACACGAAAUCUAUUUUAAGGUUAUUCGAGUAGGUCGGGACACGUGUUAUCUUGACUGAACAUGGGGGGACCAUCCUCCAAGGCUAAAUACUCCUUACUGACCGAUAGUGAACUAGUACCGUGAGGGAAAGGUGAAAAGAACCCUUUUUAAGGGAGUGAAAUAGACCCUGAAACCGUAUGCAUACAAGCAGUAGGAGCUCCCUUGUGGGGUGACUGCGUACCUUUUGUAUAAUGGGUCAGCGACUUAUUCUCAGUGGCAAGCUUAAGUGCUUAGCGGAGGCGUAGGGAAACCGAGUCUUAAAUGGGCGACAUAGUCGCUGGGAAUAGACCCGAAACCGAGUGAUCUAUCCAUGGCCAGGUUGAAGGUUGAGUAACAUCAACUGGAGGACCGAACCCACUUAUGUUGAAAAAUGAGGGGAUGAGCUGUGGAUCGGAGUGAAAGGCUAAUCAAACUCGGAGAUAGCUGGUUCUCCUCGAAAUCUAUUUAGGUAGAGCCUCUUGUAUCACUGUUGGGGGUAGAGCACUGUUAUGGCUAGGGGGCCAUCCCGGCUUACCAACCCAUUGCAAACUCCGAAUACCAACAAGUGCAAUCAAGGGAGACACACAGCGGGUGCUAACGUCCGUUGUGAAGAGGGAAACAACCCAGACCGUCAGCUAAGGUCCCUAAAUAUUGCUCAGUGGGAAACGAUGUGAGAAGGCAUAGACAGCCAGGAGGUUGGCUUAGAAGCAGCCAUCCUUUAAAGAAAGCGUAAUAGCUCACUGGUCUAGUCGGCUUGCGCGGAAGAUUUAUCGGGGCUCAAGCAAUAUACCGAAGCUACGGGAGCUUGGAAUUUAUUCCAGGCUCGGUAGAGGAGCGUUCUGUAAGCCUGCGAAGGUGUGCUGUGAGGCAUGCUGGAGGUAUCAGAAGUGCGAAUGCUGACAUAAGUAACGACAAUGGGAGUGAGAAACUCCCACGCCGAAAACCCAAGGUUUCCUGCUCAACGUUAAUCGGAGCAGGGUUAGUCGGAUCCUAAGGCGAGGCCGAAAGGCGUAGUCGAUGGAAAACAGGUUAAUAUUCCUGUACCACUUAUAACUGCGAUGGGGAGACGGAGAAGGCUAGGCCAGCCGGCAGUUGGUGUCCGGUUUAAGCGAGUAGGGUGUGACCUUAGGCAAAUCCGGGGUCGCUUUACCUGAGACGUGAUGACGAGCUCUUUAGUGAGCGAAGUGGUUGAUGCCAUGCUUCCAAGAAAAUCCUCUAAGCUUCAGGUUAUGAGUGUCCGUACCCCAAACCGACACAGGUGGGUAAGUUGAGAAUACUAAGGCGCUUGAGAGAACUCGGGUGAAGGAACUAGGCAAAAUAGCACCGUAACUUCGGGAGAAGGUGCGCCCCUGAGGGUGAGAUUAUUUACUAGUCAAGCUUUUGGGGGCCGCAGUGACCAGGUGGCUGCGACUGUUUACUAAAAACAUAGCACUCUGCAAACACGCAAGUGGACGUAUAGGGUGUGACGCCUGCCCGGUGCCGGAAGGUUAAUUGAUGGGGUUAUCUUCGGAGAAGCUCUUGAUCGAAGCCCCGGUAAACGGCGGCCGUAACUAUAACGGUCCUAAGGUAGCGAAAUUCCUUGUCGGGUAAGUUCCGACCUGCACGAAUGGCGUAACGAUGGCCACACUGUCUCCACCCGAGACUCAGUGAAAUUGAAUUCGCGGUUAAGAUGCCGUGUACCCGCGGCUAGACGGAAAGACCCCGUGAACCUUUACUACAGCUUUGCACUGAACUUUGAACCUACUUGUGUAGGAUAGGUGGGAGGCGUUGAAACGUGAUCGCUAGAUUGCGUGGAGCCGACCUUGAAAUACCACCCUGGUAUGUUUGGAGUUCUAACUUAGACCCGUUAUCCGGGUUGAGGACAGUGUAUGGUGGGUAGUUUGACUGGGGCGGUCUCCUCCCAAAGAGUAACGGAGGAGCGCGAAGGUACCCUAAACACGGUCGGAAAUCGUGUGGUUUGUGCAAAGGCAUAAGGGUGCUUGACUGCGAGACAGACACGUCGAGCAGGUGCGAAAGCAGGUCUUAGUGAUCCGGUGGUUCUGCAUGGAAGGGCCAUCGCUCAACGGAUAAAAGGUACUCCGGGGAUAACAGGCUGAUUCCUCCCAAGAGUCCAUAUCGACGGAGGAGUUUGGCACCUCGAUGUCGGCUCAUCACAUCCUGGGGCUGUAGCAGGUCCCAAGGGUAUGGCUGUUCGCCAUUUAAAGUGGUACGCGAGCUGGGUUUAGAACGUCGUGAGACAGUUCGGUCCCUAUCUGCCGUGGGCGUUUGAGAAUUGAGGGAAGCUGCUCCUAGUACGAGAGGACCGGAGUGGACGAUCCCCUGGUGUUCCGGUUGUCACGCCAGUGGCAUUGCCGGGUAGCUACGAUCGGACAGGAUAACCGCUGAAAGCAUCUAAGCGGGAAGCCCCUCCCAAGAUGAGUUCUCACUGAAUCCUUGAGAUUCCUGAAGGGCCCUUGAAGACCACAAGGUUGAUAGGCAGGGUGUGGAAGCGCAGUAAUGUGUGAAGCUAACCUGUACUAAUUGCCCGUGAGGCUUGACCAU
rnacentral:rRNA from 1 species